GAUGAAGAACGCAGCGAAAUGCGACAAGUAGUGUGAAUUGCAGAAUUCAGUGAAUCAUCGAAUCUUUGAACGCACAUUGCGCCCCUUGGUAUUCCAUGGGGCAUGCCUGUUCGAGCGUCAUUUGUACCUUCAAGCUCUGCUUGGUGUUGGGUGUUUGUCUCGCCUUGCGCGUAGACUCGCCUUAAAACAAUUGGCAGCCGGCGUAUUGAUUUCGGAGCGCAGUACAUCUCGCGCUUUGCACUCAUAACGACGACGUCCAAAAGUACUUUUUACACUCUUGACCUCGGAUCAGGUAGGGAUACCCGCUGAACUUAAGCAUAUCAAUAAGCGGAGGA
rnacentral:misc_RNA from 1 species